AGCGAACGCUGGCGGCAGGCUUAACACAUGCAAGUCGAGCGGACCUUUCGGGGUCAGCGGCGGACGGGUGAGUAACGCGUGGGGACGUGCCUUCCGGUUCGGAAUAACCCUGGGAAACUAGGGCUAAUACCGGAUACGCCCUUAUGGGGAAAGGUUUACUGCCGGAAGAUCGGCCCGCGUCUGAUUAGCUAGUUGGUGGGGUAACGGCCUACCAAGGCGACGAUCAGUAGCUGGUCUGAGAGGAUGAUCAGCCACACUGGGACUGAGACACGGCCCAGACUCCUACGGGAGGCAGCAGUGGGGAAUAUUGGACAAGGGGCGCAAGCCUGAUCCAGCCAUGCCGCGUGAGUGAUGAAGGCCUUAGGGUUGUAAAGCUCUUUUAUCCGGGACGAUAAUGACGGUACCGGAGGAAUAAGCCCCGGCUAACUUCGUG
rnacentral:rRNA from 1 species